GAAGGCGCAGUAGCCGAAACCUGUGGCUCUGCAAAACAGGGGUAACAACUGGGCGUGAGAACUACUGUAAAAACAAGUAGUCCUCAGUGGGUACCGCCCAAAACAACAUCGGUCCACCCACUAAGUCUACAGAAGGGAGCAAGAGUAGUCAGAAAAGCAGGAAGUAAACUCUACCGCUAUCGAUCACUACACUAUCAUGCUCUACACUAACCAACUGUAGUAAAUGUCAAAUCUGACCCAAUCCAAUCGGGACUGUAAGCAUACCCGUCCCCGGGACUGUGAAUACACCCGUCCCUGCCCCGUUGCGACUAUCAGGCUCUAUCCACACUAACUGGUCCGUGGAGAGCAAGUCCAACUGGCAUGAGCGACACCAACGCGAAAGCACAAAGCCUGACUCCGGAGUGGCACUCGUGGGCGCUACCCAACCGAGUAUGCAGCGUAUCUCUGUCGAGCUCAAUCAGGCUCUGAAAAGCCAAAGUCAAGUAACCAACUCAAACUGGUCUAAUAACCAACAGGUAACGUGCCCUCAGCACAAUCUGACGCCAAAAAGGCGAUACGGGUCCACCGUCAACCCUGACGGCACCCAACAGUCCGGAACAACCUGAACGACCCUGUAAAAAUCCACUCGGCACACCAGCACGAGCGUAAAUAUAUUCUAAACUACCUGAAGUACUCGUCUCGAAGAUACUGCGACAGUACAAUUUUAUAACGGCUCCUAGAGCUAAAUCAGGCAGUUUAAACAUGUGACAGGUCCAAAUCGCAGGUUUUCUCCUAAUUCAAAUUCCAAGUCCAACAUGUAUAAACUACUCAAUUUAAUACCACAUGCUCCAAAUUCAGAUUUGCUAUCUAUAACAAAAUCCAUGAAUUCGAGCUAAAGUAAACUAUAUAAAAUCUGAAAUUACACAUGUUGACUAUUGCGCACUUAGGAGUAUAAGCCGAUCAUUAACCCACCUUAGUCGCUAAUUCCUAGCAGCGAGGAAGUCCCGAAGCAAAGGAACACCCUGCUGGAUCAAUCCGCAAACCUCCAAAGGCCAGAAAUCACGCUCCCGCCAAACUCUACACGUAAAAUCCGAAAAUGAGCACCGAUUCUGCCUCAAAAACAGCAGCAGAGAAGAGAAUAAUUCCGACCAAGAAAACCUCCACCAAAACCAGCAAGUAAGGGCUUCGUGGAUUCCUCUCGAAGUCCCGAAUCCAACGAACCAAGUCUCGUCGAAAUCCGCUGCUCCUACGUCGAGAGGGAGCCGAAACGGCGACGGUCGACGCUGAAAAUUCUGCAAAUCAGCACCAAGCUCGAAAUGACAAUACUUGAAGCAAUGCAACGGAACACUCACCUCAAAGGCUAAUUGAACAUCGACGCGGCGGUGAGAACGACGAAAACGCACCCUCACCUAGCUUCCUCGUAGCGCUACGAUGACGAAGACCUGCUCGAACGGCACCGUGGCGCGACGUCGGCGUCGAUCCGAGCUCCACGACAACUCCACCCGAGCUCGAGCUCUCCACCUUGCCCACGAGCUAAAUUAAGGAGGGAUAGAGAGAGAAGGCUAAUUAGUUUUCAAUGGGUUGAGUUGAUAAGUAUCAAGAGGGAGUUGGUGAGAUACUUAUCCACCAACUCAAAAGAUUUUUUUUUUUUCCUCACCAACUCAAAAGCUAAGGGUACUACAUCCUCCCUCACUACAAAAAGUUUCGUCCUCGAAACUUAAAACAUACCUCAAGACGAGGAAGCGAACAAGUCGGGGUAGGACUCCCUCAUCACUGUCUCAGGCUCCCAAGUCGCCUCCCGCUCCUCGUGAUUGCUCCACUGCACUUUCACAUACGGGAUGGCCCGAUUGCGCAAUUCUUUCGUCUCCUAAGCAAGAAUUCGCAAUGGUCGCUUCUCGUAUCUCAGAUCCUCGCUAAUCUCUAGUGGAGUGAAGUCAAUCACGUGAGAGGGAUCGAAAAUAUAUCUCCUCAAUGCUGAGACGUGGAAGACAUCGUGAAUGCCAGCUAGUCGCGGGGGUAGAGCGAUCCUGUAUGCAACCGGUCCGAUACGCUCUAAUACCUCGAAAGGGCUAACAAACCGUGGACUAAGCUUUCCACGUACUCCAAAUCGGCGUAUCCCUCUGGACGGCGAGACUUUGAGGAAAACAUGAUCUCCAACCUGAAACUCCAAGUCUCGUCUCCUGGUAUCGGCGUAGCUCCUCUGUCGGCUCUGUGCAGUCAAAAGGUGUCGUCGAAUGAUUCUCACCUUUUCCUCAGCCUCAAGUAGAAUGUCCAGUCCAAGUGUCCUCCGCUCACCCACAUCGCUCCAAAAUAGGGGGGAUCGACAUCUGCGUCCAUACAACGCCUCAAACAGAGCCAUCUGAAUGCUCGUUUGAUAGCUGUUGUUGUACGCAAACUCAACAAGUCUCACAUGUCGAUACUACCCUCCUCCAAAAUCCAGGACGCAUGCCCUCAGCAUGUCCUCUAGAGUCUGUAUGGUCCACUCCGACUGACCAUCUGUCUGUGGGUGGAACGCCGUGCUAAAAUGCAGCUGAGUGCCCAAGGCGGUCUGAAAGCUCCUCCAAAACUGGGAUACAAACCUCGGAUCUCUGUCUGAUACAAUCGACACUGGCACGCCGUGCAGCCUAACGAUCUCAUCCAAGUAUAGCUGCGCAAGUCUCUCUCUGGACCAGGUAGUCAGAACCGGUAGGAAGUGAGCAGACUUGGUCAGUCUGUCCACUAUCACCCAAAUCGCAUCGUAGCCACCCUGCGCUCUAGGCAAUCCAACGACGAAAUCCAUUGUGAUCUGCUCCCACUUCCACUCGGGCACUGGCAGACUCUGAAGCUUGCCAGCAGGUACCUGAUGCUCGGCUUUCACCUGUUUGCAAGUCAAACACUGAGUCACAUAUCUGCCAAUGUCCCUCUUCAUUCCAUUCCACCAAAACCGUGCUUUUAGAUCCUUAUACAUCUUGGUUCCACAUGGAUGAACCGUAUAAGGAGAACAAUGAGCCUCUUUCAGAAUGUCUGCUCGGAUCUCAGAAUCCACAGGCACACACAGUCGGUCCCUGUACCGUAGUACUCUCGAACCGUCCAAAGCAAAACCCUCAGCCUGCCCCCUGUCUAGCUGCUCUCUAAUCCUCACCAAGUACGGAUCUCCACUCUGUUUCUCUCGGAUCCUAUCCAACAGAGUGGGCUGUAAAACUAGAGACAUCAGCCUUGCCGUAGACCCAGGGGGUACUAUCUCGAGUCCCAACCACUGUAGCUCCUCGAGUAGGGGUCUCUGCUCAGUAAUCCUCAAACUCAGGCUCUGCACUGACUUCCUGCUCAAUGCAUCUGCCACAACAUUCGCCUUGCCGGGAUGAUACUGAACACUAAUGUCAUAGUCCUUCAGUAACUCCAACCACCGGCGCUGCCUCAGGUUCAGCUCUCUCUGUGUGAACAGAUACUUGAGACUUUUAUGAUCGGUGAAGACCUCGCAGUGCUCGCCGUACAAGUAAUGCCGCCACAACUUCAAAGCAAAAACUACUGCGGCAAGCUCCAAAUCAUGCGUAGGGUAAUUCUUCUCAUAAUCCUUUAACUGCCGUGAAGUAUAAGCAAUCACCCUACCAUGCUGCAUCAGCACGCAACCAAGUCCAUUGUGCGAUGCAUCACUGUAGUUCACGAAUCCUUCCCCCAUCACCGGAAGGGCAAGGAUAGGAGCUGACGUCAACCUCUAUCUCAACUCGUCAAAGCUCCUCUGACAGUCGUCGCUCCAGACAAAACGAAUCCCCUUCCGCAUCAAGCGUGUGAGGGGUGUGGAAAGCUUCGCAAAGCCUUCCACAAACCGACGGUAAUAUCCUGCCAGUCCCAGGAAGCUCCGUACCUCAGUCACCGUCGUCGGUCUAGGCCAAUCUCGAAUCGCCUCAAUCUUCUUCGGGUCCACUGCUACGCCCUCGGCUGAAAUCACGUGGCCCAAGAAAGCAACCUCCCGUAGCCAGAACUCGCACUUCUUUAACUUGGCAUACAACUUCUUCUCGCGCAGAAGCUGUAGCACAAUCCUCAAGUGCUCCUCAUGCUCAGCAUCACUCCGGGAGUAAAUCAGGAUAUCGUCGAUGAAGACUACCACAAACCUAUCCAAGAACGGCUUGAACACUCUGUUCAUCAAAUCCAUGAAUGCGGCAGGGGCAUUCGUCAAUCCAAAAGGCAUCACCGUGAACUCAUAAUGCCCGUACCGAGUCCGAAAAGCCGUCUUGGGAACAUCCUCGGCCCUCACCCUCAGCUGGUGGUAACCUGACUGGAGAUCAAUCUUCGAAAAGACACAAGAUCCUUGCAGCUGAUCGAAUAGAUCAUCAAUGCGCGGCAGAGGAUACUUGUUCUUGAUGGUCACUUUAUUCAGCUCCCGGUAAUCCACACAUAACCUGAGCGAACCAUCCUUCUUCUUUACAAAUAACACCGGCGCUCCCCAAGGCGACACACUGGGUCUCACAAACCCUCUAUCCAUCAGAUCCUGAAGUUGCGCCUUUAGCUCUCUCAGCUCUGCCGGUGCCAUCCUGUAAGGUACCUUUGAGAUUGGUGCAGUUCCAGGAACUACAUCAAUCACAAACUCAAUCUCCCUCUCCGGCGGCAAUGUCGUCAACUCAGGGGGAAACACAUCCGAAAACUCGCGGACUACUGGGAUGUCCUCGAGUCUCGGCGCCGCCGUAGGUACCUCCACAACUGUCGCUAGGAAAGCGAUACACCCACUGCUCAGCAUCUGUCGAGCCCUCGCCGAAGAUAUCCAGGUGGCAAACAGCGUGCUCCUGCAGCCUCUGAAAGUAAACUCCUCCUGGCCUGGCUCGCGGAACGUCACCGUCCUCGCUCCACAGUCGAUCGUAGCAUAGUACCGCGCCAGCCAAUCCAUACCGAGCACUACGUCGAAGUCCUGCAGCUGCCCUAACACCAACAGGUCUGCGGGCAUGAUCCAAGAGUCUAACUGCACCGGACAGGACCAACAACACUCUGUAACCUGCAAGACAUGGUCGGGGAUCUGCACCUCUCGUGCCUGAGACAACGCUCCUAACUCUAGACCAUGCAACAAUGCAAAUGCUCGGCUAACAAAGGAAUGCGAUGCACCGGUAUCAAAAAGAGUGCGAACUCUAAUGCCAGAAAUCAAAGUGAUACCUGCCACCACUCGGUCGGCUGCUGUAGAGUCCUCCACCUGAGCUGGAUAGACCCUGCCACUCGGAGCCUGCUGUCGCCGCUCACCCGACAGCGGCACCGACGAUCUGUCCUCCUGGCGGUAACUCUGUGCUGCUCCGUAAGACUGCUGUGGUGCUGGUGGUGCUGAAGCUGAUGAUGGUGCUGGAGAUACUGCUCGGGGACAAACUGCCCUCAUGUGUCCCGGCUGACCACACCCGUAACACCGGCCCUCCCUCUGCUCACACUGUCGGGGCCAGUGUGGUCCCCCGCAGAUCACACACUGCGGCGUCCUCUGAGUCUGUCCCUGCUGACGGGAUCCCCUGGAACGCUGACGCCCCGAAGACCCACGACCCUGAGAACGUGAUCGUGGAGGUCUCGGCGGACGUCUGCUGCUCGACUGUCCUCCAUCAUCUGGAAAGGGGCGCUUCCUGUCCUGACCCUGCCCCACGGCCUGAGUCCUCUCCUGCAGCAACACCUCACCUCUCUCUACCCAUAGGGCCUGCUCUAUGGAUGCAUCCAGGGUCCUCGACCUCUGCGCCCGCGCUAACCUGAAGAUGUCCGGUCUCAGCCCCUGCUCGAACAUGUACACCCUGUGCGCCUCGUCUCUGGCCACAAAUGGCACACAGUUCAGGAGUCAAGUAAACUCCCGAACGUACUCCUGCACUGGACGAUCUCCCUGCUGAAGCCUCCUCAAAUCCUCCUCGAGCUUCUGCUUCACACUGUUGGGAAAGAACAUCCCAAACAGCAUUCCACAGAACUGAUCCCACCUCAGCUGCGCCGCCACCAGCCCCUGAUCUCGCCUCGCUCUCCGCCACCAGUCGUGAGCAUCACCUGCUAAACAGUGUACUCCCAGAGGUACCUGCUCCCUCUCCGGAAUGAAUAGAUCCUCAAAUAGCUUCUCCAUCGCACUGACCCAUCCCUUAACAACCCAGGCCUCAGUGCAUCUGCCAUUGUAAAUCGGUGGAUCAAAACGGCGAAAACGAGCCAACCUCUCUGUCCACCUCUCCUGCUCGGCCUCUGUCAACUGUACGGGCCCCCUAGCAUGCGCAACUGGCGCUGUAGGAAGCUCCACUGGUGGGGGCAUAGCUGUGGCUAGAACUGACGCUGGAGUAGUCGGUGGCGGAACAGUCUGCUCUGGUACUCUCGGUGCAGCACUCGGUGUCUGAGCCACCCUCUCACACAACCUCUGCAACAACUCCCCCUGCUGCCUCGUCACCUUAGUCAAGGCUGCCAACUGUGCACUCAGGUCAGGGGGUGCGCUAGCCUCAAGUCGCACACUCGGCUCCACAACAGGGGGUGCCCUCGCCUCCGGUCUGUCACCCUGCUCCAUCUGCUCAGGUCUCUCAAAAGGUCCUGCACAAUCCCGCGCCAACUGGGCACGCUCCCGCAACGACGGUCGACCUCGGCGACGAUACAUAGCUGAAAAGAACAGAUCGGAGUCAGUUGAAACACAAACACUCUCGACCCAAUCAACGAAAGUCUGGAAGGCGGUCCCUGUUUCCCUCCAAAAUUAUGUCGUCUGCAGCCAACAUAAUUUCUCAGGCCAAAACAAGUACUCCUUCAGUCACUCACUCUACUCUAGGAGGAGUUUAGAAUAAAUAAUCAUUGACUUUCGCAAUUAAAUUAUGCCUCUCGCAUCUUGCUUUCCUAAAGUUUGCCAAACUUAGGUUUCCUAGGUCCCAACGACCUAAUGCUAAGCUCUGAUACAAACUUAAUUUGUCACGCCCCGGAUGUCUCGUUCCCCGGGCACGCCGACAAACCCGCCGCAUACAAAGGAGUUUCCUCUGUACACGAAGCGACAGCUGUACCUGUAAAUAUACAAUACUACAAACAGUAGUAUAGAGCUGCUAGAGAAAAUAAAAGCUAAACAAACUGAGUUUUAUAUACAUAGCUCAAAUCCAAAAUACAGAGUUACUCGCACUGGCGAGUUAGGUAAACUAUGUACAUAAACUCGAAACAAAACAUCUACCUGCAGAAGGGCACCUCUAGCUCAGCACGUCGGGUAGGGCUCUAACCCGCGACGCCCUUGCCUCGAUCCUGAUCCGCGGACGGUGCAGCAGCCGGAACCUGUGGCUCUGCAAAAACAUAGGUAACAACUGGGCGUGAGAACUACUGUAAAAACAAGUAGUCCUCAGUGGGUACCGCCCAAAACAACAUCGGUCCACCCACUAAGUCUACAGAAGGGAGCAAGAGUAGUCAGAAAAGCAGGAAGUAAACUCUACCGCUAUCGAUCACUACACUAUCAUGCUCUACACUAACCAACUGUAGUAAAUGUCAAAUCUGACCCAAUCCAAUCGGGACUGUAAGCAUACCCGUCCCCGGGACUGUGAAUACACCCGUCCCUGCCCCGUUGCGACUAUCAGGCUCUAUCCACACUAACUGGUCCGUGGAGAGCAAGUCCAACUGGCAUGAGCGACACCAACGCGAAAGCACAAAGCCUGACUCCGGAGUGGCACUCGUGGGCGCUACCCAACCGAGUAUGCAGCGUAUCUCUGUCGAGCUCAAUCAGGCUCUGAAAAGCCAAAGUCAAGUAACCAACUCAAACUGGUCUAAUAACCAACAGGUAACGUGCCCUCAGCACAAUCUGACGCCAAAAAGGCGAUACGGGUCCACCGUCAACCCUGACGGCACCCAACAGUCCGGAACAACCUGAACGACCCUGUAAAAAUCCACUCGGCACACCAGCACGAGCGUAAAUAUAUUCUAAACUACCUGAAGUACUCGUCUCGAAGAUACUGCGACAGUACAAUUUUAUAACGGCUCCUAGAGCUAAAUCAGGCAGUUUAAACAUGUGACAGGUCCAAAUCGCAGGUUUUCUCCUAAUUCAAAUUCCAAGUCCAACAUGUAUAAACUACUCAAUUUAAUACCACAUGCUCCAAAUUCAGAUUUGCUAUCUAUAACAAAAUCCAUGAAUUCGAGCUAAAGUAAACUAUACAAAAUCUGAAAUUACACAUGUUGACUAUUGCGCACUUAGGAGUAUAAGCCGAUGAUUAACCCACCUUAGUCGCUAAUCCCCAGCAGCGAGGACGUCCCGAAGCAAAGGAACACCCUGCUGGAUCAAUCCGCAAACCUCCAAAGGCCAGAAAUCACGCUCCCGCCAAACUCUACACGUAAAAUCCGAAAAUGAGCACCGAUUCUGCCUCGAAAAUAGCAGCAGAGAAGAGAAUAAUUCCGACCAAGAAAACCUCCACCAAAACCAGCAAGUAAGGGCUUCGUGGAUUCCUCUCGAAGUCCCGAAUCCAACGAACCAAGUCUCGUCGAAAUCCGCUGCUCCUACGUCGAG
rnacentral:lncRNA from 1 species